GGGAGCAUGUUUCAAGUGGUAGAGCAUUUGCCUAGCAAAUGUCCUGAGUUCAAAUCCCAGUACUUCCU
rnacentral:tRNA from 1 species